CUCCACAUUUGUCUGAUUCCAUUCCUGAGGCGGCUGGGCUGCGCUGCGGCCGCCUUCCUGCUGGGGACCUUGUUCUCCCUGGUCUGCCGGAGUCCGCGAGCUCCGCCGCCCGACUUCGCCGCCGCCUGGAGACGGCUGGCCGCGGCCGCCCGCCGGAGAGUUUCCCAAGUAAGGAAAUGCUUCAGAAAUCAUUACUUCACGUUUUGAUACAGCUUUGACACUCAUUUCUAGGAUCUGUCCAAGAUGAACACAGUAAUACUUUCCCGUGGCUCAUAUUAAAGUUACACAGAGGAGUGACGUCACAAGACUUUGCUCCCCUCCCAAGAACAGCAACUAACAACUCUUCAUGGACAAGACCCCACCGUGAAACCCUAGAACAGGUGGUGCAGCUGCACCACAGACACACCAUUAUAAGGAACUGGCUUACACAAUUGCUGGGACUGACUAAGCUACUCCGAAGUCCAAAGGGCAAGUGGUCAGAAAGGGAAGAUCAAAAGCCAAGGUCUAAGAUGCUGUCCACAGCUGGAAUUUAUUUUCCUCACCUCAGGAGGUGAAGUUCAACAGGAGCAGGUGCCAGGAACUGUGAAAUACGGGCAACAUUUACGCACACCACGUCCAGGUUCAGCAGAGAAAACUUCCUCCACUGUCGCUUUGGGAAAGAAGAUCUUAAAGAUCACAAAG